CUUGGUGAGAAUAGCUACGGGGGUACACCCAGAUACAUUCCGAACCUGGAAGUUAAGCCCGUAAACGCUGAAAGUACUUGGAGGGAAGCCUCCUGGGAGGAUAGGAACUUGCCAAGC
rnacentral:rRNA from 2 species